UGAACGCUGGCGGCAGGCCUAACACAUGCAAGUCGAGCGGUAGCACAGAGAGCUUGCUCUCGGGUGACGAGCGGCGGACGGGUGAGUAAUGUCUGGGAAACUGCCUGAUGGAGGGGGAUAACUACUGGAAACGGUAGCUAAUACCGCAUAAUGUCGCAAGACCAAAGUGGGGGACCUUCGGGCCUCAUGCCAUCAGAUGUGCCCAGAUGGGAUUAGCUAGUAGGUGGGGUAACGGCUCACCUAGGCGACGAUCCCUAGCUGGUCUGAGAGGAUGACCAGCCACACUGGAACUGAGACACGGUCCAGACUCCUACGGGAGGCAGCAGUGGGGAAUAUUGCACAAUGGGCGCAAGCCUGAUGCAGCCAUGCCGCGUGUGUGAAGAAGGCCUUCGGGUUGUAAAGCACUUUCAGCGGGGAGGAAGGCGUUAAGGUUAAUAACCUUGGCGAUUGACGUUACCCGCAGAAGAAGCACCGGCUAACUCCGUGCCAGCAGCCGCGGUAAUACGGAGGGUGCAAGCGUUAAUCGGAAUUACUGGGCGUAAAGCGCACGCAGGCGGUCUGUCAAGUCGGAUGUGAAAUCCCCGGGCCCAACCUGGGAACUGCAUUCGAAACUGGCAGGCUAGAGUCUUGUAGAGGGGGGUAGAAUUCCAGGUGUAGCGGUGAAAUGCGUAGAGAUCUGGAGGAAUACCGGUGGCGAAGGCGGCCCCCUGGACAAAGACUGACGCUCAGGUGCGAAAGCGUGGGGAGCAAACAGGAUUAGAUACCCUGGUAGUCCACGCCGUAAACGAUGUCGAUUUGGAGGUUGUGCCCUUGAGGCGUGGCUUCCGGAGCUAACGCGUUAAAUCGACCGCCUGGGGAGUACGGCCGCAAGGUUAAAACUCAAAUGAAUUGACGGGGGCCCGCACAAGCGGUGGAGCAUGUGGUUUAAUUCGAUGCAACGCGAAGAACCUUACCUGGUCUUGACAUCCACAGAACUUAGCAGAGAUGCUUUGGUGCCUUCGGGAACUGUGAGACAGGUGCUGCAUGGCUGUCGUCAGCUCGUGUUGUGAAAUGUUGGGUUAAGUCCCGCAACGAGCGCAACCCUUAUCCUUUGUUGCCAGCGGUUAGGCCGGGAACUCAAAGGAGACUGCCAGUGAUAAACUGGAGGAAGGUGGGGAUGACGUCAAGUCAUCAUGGCCCUUACGACCAGGGCUACACACGUGCUACAAUGGCAUAUACAAAGAGAAGCGACCUCGCGAGAGCAAGCGGACCUCAUAAAGUAUGUCGUAGUCCGGAUUGGAGUCUGCAACUCGACUCCAUGAAGUCGGAAUCGCUAGUAAUCGUAGAUCAGAAUGCUACGGUGAAUACGUUCCCGGGCCUUGUACACACCGCCCGUCACACCAUGGGAGUGGGUUGCAAAAGAAGUAGGUAGCUUAACCUUCGGGAGGGCGCUUACCACUUUGUGAUUCAUGACUGGGGUGAAGU
rnacentral:rRNA from 1 species